rnacentral:rRNA from 1 species
UACGUAGGGGGCUAGCGUUGUCCGGAAUCAUUGGGCGUAAAGAGCGUGUAGGCGGCUUGGCAAGUCUCGCGUGAAAUCCUGCGGCUCAACCGCAGGCGGUCGCGGGAAACUGCCUCGCUAGAGUCCGGAAGAGGAGAGUGGAAUUCCUGGUGUAGCGGUGGAAUGCGCAGAUAUCAGGAAGAACACCCGUGGCGAAGGCGGCUCUCUGGGACGGUACUGACGCUGAGACGCGAAAGCGUGGGGAGCGAACAGG